AGGAGUGUAGCUUGGUGCUAGAGCACCUUCUUUUCAUACAGAAGGUCCCAGGUUCGAUCCCUGAUGUCUCUA